rnacentral:rRNA from 1 species
CCUACGGGAGGCAGCAGUGAGGAAUAUUGGUCAAUGGGCGCGAGCCUGAACCAGCCAAGUAGCGUGAAGGAUGACGGUCCUAUGGAUUGUAAACCUCUUUUGUCGGGGAGCAAGGCUCGCCACGUGUGGCGGGAAGGAGAGUACCCGAAGAAAAAGCAUAGGCUAACUCCGUGCCAGCAGCCGCGGUAAUACGGAGGAUGCGAGCGUUAUCCGGAUUUAUUGGGUUAAAAGGGUGCGUAGGCGGAAUGUUAAGUCAGCGGUCAAAUGUCGGUGCUCAACACCGGCCUGCCGUUGAAACUGGUCGUCUUGAGUGAGCGAGAAGUAGGCGGAAUGCGUGGUGUAGCGGUGAAAUGCAUAGAUAUCACGCAGAACUCCGAUUGCGAAGGCAGCAUACCGGCGCUCAACUGACGCUGAGGCACGAAAGCGUGGGGAUCGAACAGGAUUAGAUACCCUGGUAGUC